rnacentral:rRNA from 1 species
CAAGGAAUUUUCGUCAAUGGGGGAAACCCUGAACGAGCAACGCCGCGUGGGCGAAGAAGUCCUUCGGAUGUAAAGCCCUUUUCCCUGUGAAGAAAGAAAGACGGUAGCAGGGGAAUAAGCAUCGGCUAACUACGUGCCAGCAGCCGCGGUAAUACGUAGGAUGCAAGCGUUGUCCGGAAUUAUUGGGCGUAAAGAGCGCGCAGGCGGUUUUACAAGCAGAUGUGAAAGAGGCCGGCUUAACCGGCAAGGGUCAUUUGAAACUGUAAGACUAGAGUACAGCAGAGGAUAGCGGAAUUCCCGGUGUAGUGGUGAAAUGCGUAGAUAUCGGGAGGAACACCAGUGGCGAAGGCGGCUAUCUGGGCUGUAACUGACGCUGAGGCGCGAAGGCUAGGGUAGCAAACA